AAGUCGUAACAAGGUUUCCGUAGGUGAACCUGCGGAAGGAUCAUUACUGAGUUUUGAAGUGGGCUUGAUGCUGGUAUCUUAACGAUGCAUGUGCUCAGCCCCGCUCUCAUCCACUCAACACUUGUGCACUUUCAAAGUUGUAGUCCUCCGUAAUGGGAGUCGCAGGUCUUUUUUGACUUGUUGGGACUGCACUUUGCCAUUUAUCACAAACUAUAUACAUUGUCUUGUAGAAUGUUCAGCCUCAUUGUGGGCGAAACUUAAUACAACUUUCAACAACGGAUCUCUUGGCUCUC
rnacentral:misc_RNA from 1 species